rnacentral:tRNA from 1 species
CGGUUUAGCUCAGUUGGUAGAGCAGCGCAUUCGUAAUGCGAAGGUCGGGAGUUCAAGUCUUCUAACCG